rnacentral:lncRNA from 1 species
UCAUAACCCGUCAUAUGCAUAAACUAUCUGAUUUAACUCUAGGAGCCGUGGUAUUUUGUACUGUCGCGGUAUCCUUGUGGUGAGUACCCCAGGUAGUUCAGAUUUUUGUUAUGCUCGUGCUGAGAUGCCGAGCCGAUUUUUACAGUAGUGUUUACACUGUUCCGUACUAGUGGGUGCCGUAGUGGUUGACGGCGGACCCAGAUUUGAUCGUUUUGAUAUCACUUUGUGCCAAGGGCACGUGACUAGUGGUUCGUAGUCCAGUUGGACCUGUUUUCUUGAUUUUAGCCUGUGCGAGCCUGAUUGAGCUCGGCAGAGAUACACUUGCAUACUCGGUUAGGUCGCGCCCACGAGUGCCGCUCCGGAGUCUGGCUUUGUGCUUUCGCGUUGAUGUCGCUGAUUAGUUUUGCUAUCCACGGACUGUUUAGCGUGGAGGUAGCAUGGCUUAGACAGGCGGGACGGGUGCGUUCACAGUCCCUAGUGAGAUUCAGUCAGAGUUGACAGUUGCUACAGUUGGAUAGUAUAGAGCAUGAUAGUGUAGUGGCAUAUAGCUGUAGAUUUCUUUCCAGCUUUACCUACUAGCUUUGUUUCCUUCUGUAGACUUAGUGGGUGGACCGAUGAUGUUGAGGGCGGUACCCACUGAGAACUACUUGUUUUUAAAAUAGUUCUCACGCCCAGUUGUUACCACUGUUUUGCAGAGCCAUCGUCUUCGGCUGCUGCUGCUGUUGCCGAUUCAGAGCGAGGUAAGGGCGUUGCGAGUUAGAGCCAUACCAGACAAGUUGCUGUGAUAGAGGAGCACCUGCUGCAGGUAGUAGUAUUUUUGUUAUUUUGAGUUCAUUGACAUACCCGAAUUGCAACUCGCUGGAGCGAGUACUUUUAUACUUGAUUAUUUUGUAUGUAUAUGAGACUUGUUUUAUUCUACCUGUUUAGCUUUUUUACAGCUCUAUACUACUAGUUGUAGUAUUGUAUAUUUUACUGUUACCAUUACGCUUCGUAUACAGGAAAAAUUCUUUGUAUACAGCGGAUUUGUCGACGUGCCCGGAAAACGUGUAAUCCGGGGCGUGACAGGUUCACCUAUUUUAGACUACGGAAUCAAAAGUGAUUCCGAUGAUUGUCGUUUGUUUUAAGGAAUCGGAUUUCGUUUCCCAUUCCACUCCGGGGUGAGAAUGGCCAAAUUCAUUUAUGGCCCAAUCCGGCUUUAAAUCUCUGAUUGACCCAUUCCAAAAUAAAUUAUUCAAAUUUCUUUUUUACCAACACCUUCCUCAUCUCCCUUCAUCACUUUUCCCUCUCUUAAUCAAAACCCUCUCUAAAAAGUUUUAAAUUUUCAUUGCAACUGAUCUUUCUG